rnacentral:rRNA from 1 species
AACGCUGGCGGCGUGCCUAAUACAUGCAAGUCGAGCGGACAGAAGGGAGCUUGCUCCCGGAUGUUAGCGGCGGACGGGUGAGUAACACGUGGGUAACCUGCCUGUAAGACUGGGAUAACUCCGGGAAACCGGAGCUAAUACCGGAUAGUUCCUUGAACCGCAUGGUUCAAGGAUGAAAGACGGUUUCGGCUGUCACUUACAGAUGGACCCGCGGCGCAUUAGCUAGUUGGUGAGGUAACGGCUCACCAAGGCGACGAUGCGUAGCCGACCUGAGAGGGUGAUCGGCCACACUGGGACUGAGACACGGCCCAGACUCCUACGGGAGGCAGCAGUAGGGAAUCUUCCGCAAUGGACGAAAGUCUGACGGAGCAACGCCGCGUGAGUGAUGAAGGUUUUCGGAUCGUAAAGCUCUGUUGUUAGGGAAGAACAAGUGCAAGAGUAACUGCUUGCACCUUGACGGUACCUAACCAGAAAGCCACGGCUAACUAC